UGGGCUAUGGCUCAGUGGCAGAGUGCUUGCCUAGCAUGUUUGAGGCACUGAGUUUGAUUCUCAGUACCACAU
rfam:Ictidomys tridecemlineatus contig040422, whole genome shotgun sequence.